UUGCCCAUUUAGGGUUGCUUUGUACCAUAGAUGGCCAAUACAGAGGGGUAUAGCAUUUCUCAUAAAAACCCGUAACAGAGGUCUUGUUCCACCUUUGUUUUGGAUCCUGUCAUGAGGGACACCC